UUCAUUUUUUUUGUUUCCGAGUGCCAUCUUUCAAAAUCCUUGGAGCACCUGCCACUUCUGAUCUCUUUGAUGUCCCUGAACUCGACUGCAAAUUUCGACAGGUAUUUGAAUAACGAGUUUGAUGUAAGAGCCUUUAACUCGGAUCUCAACACUUGGCACUUCUGAAGCGUAGAAAGGCUUAUACAAGACGUGGGUAUAAUGUGUGUUCGACCGUUCGCGGCUAUCUGAAAGUGGAAGUAAAAUCUACCAGCUAAUUCGAUAAAAUGCGAUAAAAAAGUUGCACUUCGCUGCGGUCAGCAUGCUCUUUAUUAAUCGGGUGAUGGUAAAUAAACGAUGUGCGCUUACUAUCCAGUAUCGAAGCCAUUCUUUUUCAGCGGGUGAAUUGUUUGUCGAUAAACAUAUUGAAUAAUCUAGGGAAUUUACUUCUUCACUUCCUGAAGCGUUGACUGAAGAAUGUAAAGAAAGUUGCCCCAAUGGGCUUUGAUGUGACAACCAAAAAUCGUCGUGCGCUUACGCUCCCCGAGAUUUUCCAAUGAUAGAGUUGAGAACUUAUUGCAGAACAUCAGAGAGUUACCGAUUUCGUCUUGAUGCUGGCUGCAUUCGCCUUCCGAGUAACACAGUCUUCGCAAUGGUAAGUCCAUAGACUUUUAUAAGUCUAUGGGUAAGCCCAAGCCAGUACUUAACCUGUGUGUACUUACCGGCUUGUCGGUGAUGCAAGAAAUUGAUACUGAGAACAAAUUUCGUCCAAUAUUCGUAGCAAAACAGUGAUUUAAUUAAAGCAUAGGUACCCGAGAGAAGAAUGUAUGAAUAGAUCAUAAAUAAUAAUAGAUCAAAUGUAAUAAUGAUGCGGAGACCAAAAAGUAUAUGAUAAAUAAAAGGAAAUAGGUAUGCAUGUGCGGUCCAUGUACGAUAUUGAUAAAUAUGACCCAUUUACGAUUGGCAUGUGAUGCAUACUAUAAAUUUUAUAAUUUUCCAGAAGACAAACUAGAUUGUUUACAAUAAUUGGCUAUGA